rnacentral:lncRNA from 1 species
UUUUGACCAUGUUUGACAUUUCUGGUUUGCAUAUAACCAAUACCAUAUCUGUUUUUAUUUCUUUUAACAUGCAUAUUUGGUGUAUAUCCUAAACCAGAUUUUUCAUGAACAUGUCUUUGAUUGCUAAGUAUGACAUUCAGCUUAUCUUUACUAUUUGCAAAAUUUAAUAAAUCAGAUUUUAAUGAUGCAACAGUAUUUUCAAGUUCAAUGCACUUUGCAGAUUUUUCCUGUGAAUCCUU